CUUGUACCUAAAUGUCUCCCAUGUUGCCAUUCCAGUCUCAAAUGUCAUACUGCAACAAGAAAAUAAAAUGGUCCACACGUAAAUGAAUGCUUGAUGUACAACAAAGGUGCACUGCAGGUCAGCGGGAGAAAAAAGUCUUUCCAAUAAGUGGCGCUAGGACAAUUGCGUACCAUGCUGGAAAAAGAAGAAAUUGAACUCCUAACUCACACAAAAGUCAAUUCCAGGGUGUCAUCUCCCAGCCGGCACUUUAGCUGUAACUUCAAGAGGCAAUUUCACUACUCUUUCAUGAUGGCAGUUUCUAGAUGGUGCAUGAUCCACAACCACAUGCCCAAUGCCAUACCUCAGCUGCUAUGAAGACAGUCUCGUGGUUCAAAGACAAUGUUAGGCGCCAUCCCAGAGUUGAAUGGAACUGAUAUAAACAAUAGGCCGCCGAGUGACUAGUUGGUCAUCUGAAGGAAGAAUACCAAUAAGAAAAGGUCUUUCUUUCAUGAAACAGGUCAUGGAGAACUGAAAGCUCAUGGUGUGUUCAGAGAACAGCUAGCAGAGGAGAGGAGGAAAGAAGAGAAGGAAGGAAGAAGAUCAAGCUGAAAUGGUACUACGGGGACUCUUAAUGCUCCAUUAAGCCAAAUGGUUUGGACUUCAUCUGCUGGCCAUGGUGGCUACAACUGGAGCAGCCAUUUGGGUGGUGAGGUGAGUUCAAGAUGGAAGCCAAGCACAACCUAGAAGGACCCUGACUCCCUGACACCAUGGUUUGCCAUACAGGACCUGGACUGAUUCCCUCUGGAACUUUAUCUGAGAGAAAUAAACUUCUGUCUUGCUUAAG
rnacentral:lncRNA from 1 species